GCGGAAGGAGAGGGUACGGGUCGCAUUGCUGAUGUGAGAAGAAACCGCAGCUGUGCUGUAUAGAGCCGAUAUAUAACCGGAGUCGGGGAGAGCGUGUUCGUGAGCCGGAGUGUAGAUCGGGAUGAAGUGUACCAGCUGGAAGACUGUGGGGUCUCUGAGGAGGAUAAAGACAACGAAGAGCUAAUGUAAAACAAUGGAAGAAGCUGGCUUAGGGCUGUCCUGGUGAAAAGGCCAGUGGGAAUCUCACUUUUCCUCAUUUGGGCAGUGUGUCUGCUAUCUGGUUACCCUUCUCACAGUUUGCUCCCUCCCCAUCUGAAUUCUCCUGCAGUGGGCCAUUGCAUAGCACCAUUUUAGUGUAGGUGACCAUCUGUUUUGCUUUGCCAACCAAACUGUAGAAGAAAAGAAGCACUGAAGCAGUCAUGAAGAAUUUCCUACUGUGGAAGAAAAAUGUAUUUGUAAAGCCCCACUCAGAAAAAUCAAACUGCUUCGCUUUCCAUGACAUUUGAAAACAAAAGGUUGAAGAGAAAAGAGGUGAUGGGUAAACAGUGAAGAUUGAUAGACUGCAUCAUGCCAUGGGGCUAUACCAAGUGACUAAUUUUGUGUCAUUGCUCCGUGUCUCAUUAUUCUGCAGGUUCUCUCAGUCCUACUGGUUGAUCGCAGCCCAAAUGUAGAGAAAAAUCUCCUCUCUAAUGGGUUUUAGCACCUUUUUCUAGAUCCAUGUGUGAACUGAAUUGCAAGGCUGGAUAGGAAACAAUGUAUGAAAACAGGAAGCUGAGGAUAUGCUACCCAAACAUCUGUCUUGCGUUCAACAUCUCCUCUAGGAUUUUCGGGACUGCCAUAGAAGCUUUUGAAGUCUCAGAUAACCAUUACAGUGGUGUAAACCAUCGUAAUGAUGUUUAUUAUCAAGUCUCUCUGCGCAGUACCGUGUGCUCCUCAUCAGAGCUCACCCUUCCCACACAGCUACACGCUCCUACGCUGCACUACAAGGAUGACUCACGGGCAGAAUUACUUUCGGAUUUAGAAAUAACAUUUGGAUUUCAGCCAGUUGUGGAAAAUAUGCAUACUUCCUCUUAUACCCACACAGUACUCAGUAUAUUGCUUUACAUAUGGGAUCUGAAUCAGUAAUACUAAAAGCCUGAAGUUGAAGGAAGAGCAAAAUGUGCUCAUAAGCAUGUUCCUUGAUAAGGUGAUUUUUUUUUUGUUCAGUCAUUUUGUGCAAAUGAAAUACCUGAUAUACUGCACGAUGGAAAUAAUACCCCUCAAAAGAGAGAAUACUUUGCUGAAAUAACACAAAAUAUACAUGGAGAAUAUUCCUUAUAGAGGCUGAUUUUAAAGACGUUGUAAUACUAGGCAGAAAAUUAAUAUUUUAACUGAAUUAAAUAAAAACAUUCCCUCCACUUUCCCCAGAAUGGAAGGAACGUGCUCGCCUCUGGCAAAGACUUUGGUAGGACUUGUAGAGUACACCUGCACGGCCUGUUAGUGGGCUCUGAGGUUACUCCACAACUGUUGCAUCUUUAUGCUGAAAGCCACCAAGGAGAAAAUGAGAAUAUUGUAAUUACAGCUGCAAAGAUGAUUUCCAAACUUGCAGUAUCAUGUCAGGCUAUCAAGUCUGCAGAUAUUCAGGAACUCGCCAAAACAGCCUUGGAAAGGCAUGAUAAAUAACACCAAGAAAACAGCUAUUUUUUAAACUGUUGUUGCAGCAUGACUUUAGUUGUUGUAUGCAAAAUGGUUUAAAGUCACCUUAAUUCCGGCUUGCCAUGUGAAAAAUGACCCUGUCAAUUUGAUACAGAGGUAGAACAUUGAAAAGUGGAAUAUUUCUUCUAAUAGGCAAGAGCUGACAAAGAUAGACUGAACGAUGUGUAGCUAUAUAGAACCGACCCGAUUGUGAAUUCCAAAUGAAAUUAAAAAUAUUGCACUAAGAUUU